AACGAACGCUGGCAGCGUGCCUAACACAUGCGAGUCGAACGGAAUUUGAGAGCUUGCUCUUAAAUUUAGUGGCGCACGGGUGAGUAACGCGUAGAUAAUCUGCCUGACGAUCUGGGAUAACACUUCGAAAGAGGUGCUGAUACCGGAUAAGCCCACGGAGUCUUUGGAUUCUGCGGGAAAAGGGGGGGACCUUCGGGCCUUCUGUCGUCAGAUGAGUCUGCGUACCAUUAGCUAGUUGGUAGGGUAAUGGCCUACCAAGGCGACGAUGGUUAGCUGGUGUGAGAGGAUGCUAAGCCACACUGGAACUGAGACAAGGCACAGACUCCUACGGGAGGCAGCAGUGGGGAAUUUUGCGCAAUGGGCGAAAACCUGACGCAGCAACGCCGCGUGAGUGAUGAAGGCUUUCGGGUCGUAAAGCUCUGUCGAGGGGAAAGAAGUGUACUUUGGCUAAUAUCCAUUGUACUUGACGGUACCCCUAAAGGAAGCACCGGCUAACUCCGUGCCAGCCGCCGCGGUAAUAC
rnacentral:rRNA from 1 species